AUGGUUAAGUGACUAAGCGUACACGGUGGAUGCCUGGGCAGUCAGAGGCGAUGAAGGACGUACUAACUUGCGAUAAGCGCAGAUAAGGCAGUAAGAGCCGUUUGAGUCUGCGAUUUCCGAAUGGGGAAACCCAACUGCAUAAGCAGUUACUGUUAACUGAAUACAUAGGUUAACAGAGCAAACCGGGGGAACUGAAACAUCUAAGUACCCCGAGGAGAAGAAAUCAACCGAGAUUCCGGUAGUAGCGGCGAGCGAACCUGGAUUAGCCCUUAAGCACUCGGUGAAGUAGGUGAACAAGCUGGAAAGCUUGGCGAUACAGGGUGAUAGCCCCGUAACCGACGCUUCAUCGAGCGUGAAAUCGAGUAGGGCGGGACACGUGAUAUCCUGUCUGAAUAUGGGGGGACCAUCCUCCAAGGCUAAAUACUCCUGACUGACCGAUAGUGAACCAGUACCGUGAGGAAAGGCGAAAAGAACCCCUGUGAGGGGAGUGAAAUAGAACCUGAAACCGUGUACGUACAAGCAGUAGGAGCACCUUCGUGGUGUGACUGCGUACCUUUUGUAUAAUGGGUCAGCGACUUAUAUUCAGUGGCAAGGUUAACCGUAUAGGGGAGCCGUAGCGAAAGCGAGUCUUAACUGGGCGCUCAGUCUCUGGAUAUAGACCCGAAACCGGGUGAUCUAGCCAUGGGCAGGUUGAAGGUUGAGUAACAUCAACUGGAGGACCGAACCGACUAAUGUUGAAAAAUUAGCGGAUGACUUGUGGCUAGGGGUGAAAGGCCAAUCAAACUCGGAGAUAGCUGGUUCUCCCCGAAAGCUAUUUAGGUAGCGCCUCGGACGAAUACUACUGGGGGUAGAGCACUGUUAAGGCUAGGGGGUCAUCCCGACUUACCAACCCUUUGCAAACUCCGAAUACCAGUAAGUACUAUCCGGGAGACACACGGCGGGUGCUAACGUCCGUCGUGGAGAGGGAAACAACCCAGACCGCCAGCUAAGGUCCCAAAGUAUUGCUAAGUGGGAAACGAUGUGGGAAGGCUCAGACAGCUAGGAUGUUGGCUUAGAAGCAGCCAUCAUUUAAAGAAAGCGUAAUAGCUCACUAGUCGAGUCGGCCUGCGCGGAAGAUGUAACGGGGCUAAGCAAUACACCGAAGCUGCGGCAAUAUCUUUUAGAUAUUGGGUAGGGGAGCGUUCUGUAAGCCGUUGAAGGUGAAUCGUAAGGUUUGCUGGAGGUAUCAGAAGUGCGAAUGCUGACAUGAGUAACGACAAAGGGGGUGAAAAACCUCCUCGCCGGAAGACCAAGGGUUCCUGUCCAACGUUAAUCGGGGCAGGGUGAGUCGACCCCUAAGGUGAGGCCGAAAGGCGUAAUCGAUGGGAAACGGGUUAAUAUUCCCGUACUUCUGACUAUUGCGAUGGGGGGACGGAGAAGGCUAGGUGGGCCAGGCGACGGUUGUCCUGGUUCAAGUGCGUAGGCUUGAGAGUUAGGUAAAUCCGGCUCUCUCUAAGGCUGAGACACGACGUCGAGCUACUACGGUAGUGAAGUCAUUGAUGCCAUGCUUCCAGGAAAAGCCUCUAAGCUUCAGAUAGUCAGGAAUCGUACCCCAAACCGACACAGGUGGUCGGGUAGAGAAUACCAAGGCGCUUGAGAGAACUCGGGUGAAGGAACUAGGCAAAAUGGUACCGUAACUUCGGGAGAAGGUACGCUCUUGAUGGUGAAGUCCCUCGCGGAUGGAGCUGACGAGAGUCGCAGAUACCAGGUGGCUGCAACUGUUUAUUAAAAACACAGCACUGUGCAAAAUCGCAAGAUGACGUAUACGGUGUGACGCCUGCCCGGUGCCGGAAGGUUAAUUGAUGGGGUUAGCGCAAGCGAAGCUCUUGAUCGAAGCCCCGGUAAACGGCGGCCGUAACUAUAACGGUCCUAAGGUAGCGAAAUUCCUUGUCGGGUAAGUUCCGACCUGCACGAAUGGCGUAAUGAUGGCCACGCUGUCUCCACCCGAGACUCAGUGAAAUUGAAAUCGCUGUGAAGAUGCAGUGUACCCGCGGCUAGACGGAAAGACCCCGUGAACCUUUACUACAGCUUGGCACUGAACAUUGAACCUACAUGUGUAGGAUAGGUGGGAGGCUAUGAAGACGUGACGCCAGUUGCGUUGGAGCCGUCCUUGAAAUACCACCCUUGUAUGUUUGAUGUUCUAACUUAGACCCGUUAUCCGGGUUGAGGACAGUGCCUGGUGGGUAGUUUGACUGGGGCGGUCUCCUCCCAAAGAGUAACGGAGGAGCACGAAGGUGGGCUAAUCACGGUUGGACAUCGUGAGGUUAGUGCAAUGGCAUAAGCCCGCUUAACUGCGAGAAUGACGGUUCGAGCAGGUGCGAAAGCAGGUCAUAGUGAUCCGGUGGUUCUGUAUGGAAGGGCCAUCGCUCAACGGAUAAAAGGUACUCCGGGGAUAACAGGCUGAUACCGCCCAAGAGUUCAUAUCGACGGCGGUGUUUGGCACCUCGAUGUCGGCUCAUCACAUCCUGGGGCUGAAGUCGGUCCCAAGGGUAUGGCUGUUCGCCAUUUAAAGUGGUACGCGAGCUGGGUUUAGAACGUCGUGAGACAGUUCGGUCCCUAUCUGCCGUGGGCGUUGGAAGAUUGAAGGGGGCUGCUCCUAGUACGAGAGGACCGGAGUGGACGAACCUCUGGUGUUCGGGUUGUGUCGCCAGACGCAUUGCCCGGUAGCUAAGUUCGGAAUUGAUAAGCGCUGAAAGCAUCUAAGCGCGAAGCGAGCCCUGAGAUGAGUCUUCCCUGACAGUUUAACUGUCCUAAAGGGUUGUUCGAGACUAGAACGUUGAUAGGCAGGGUGUGUAAGCGUUGUGAGGCGUUGAGCUAACCUGUACUAAUUGCCCGUGAGGCUUAACCAUACAACACCC
rnacentral:rRNA from 1 species